rnacentral:rRNA from 1 species
GACGUAGGGCGCGAGCGUUGUCCGGAUUUAUUGGGCGUAAAGAGCUCGUAGGCGGCCAGAUAAGUCCGGUGUGAAAGUCACAGGCUCAACCUGUGAAUGCCGCUGGAAACUGUCUGGCUAGAGUCCGGAAGGGGCGAGUGGAAUUCCUGGUGUAGCGGUGAAAUGCGCAGAUAUCAGGAGGAACACCAAUGGCGAAGGCAGCUCGCUGGGACGGUACUGACGCUGAGGCGCGAAAGCGUGGGGAGCAAGCAGG